rnacentral:lncRNA from 1 species
AAUAGGAUAAAUAGAAAACAAUAUCUCUAGAUAUAUAUAUAUAAAACCGUCGUAUGUUAUGUGCACAUAUAUAUAUAAGAGCCUACUUGUAAAGGUUUCUCACAAAGUGUUUGGAUAAAGCUGUUGUCACACAGAUUGAAAAUUAUGUUCAGAUGCUAUAUACAUUUACUAACACUAGUGCUUAUAGCGUUAACUGUUCAAUUAAUUCAAAGUAAGUAGAUAUAUCUUUUAUUUGUGAAGUCAUAAUAAUACUUGUGUUGUAGGCGUUUAUUGUUCAACAAAUUCAAAGUAAGUUAUGCAUUUUUUAUUUUAAAACGCUAGUGUUAAUUGCGUUUAAUUGUAAAUAUUCAAAGUAGAUAAGUCUUUUAUUUGCUAAUCUAACUAUUGCUAUUCUUAGACACAACAUAUUUUAAAGUUGCUGAGUGUAAUGUUCAAAUUUUAACCCUAAAUAUUUUCAAUUUCUACAUUUACAUCUGCUUCAGUGUUUGUCAAAACUUUUGAUAUAUAUCUUUUUUGUAAAUGAUAUUUUAUGAACUGCGCAACUUAUCUACAUAUAGUUUUACAAAUUUGGAACGUUUGGUGGUGCCCUCUUAUAACAAGGAACAUUCUAUGUUAACUUAAAAAAGAAUUUACAAAAAUAUUAGAAUUCAAUGAAAUCAAUAUAGAAAACUUUUCCAAACUAGCAAGAAUUAAUCUCACUGUUGUGAAGUUCCGAUUCCAAUAAUUAAUUUGCAUAUUUAGAUUGUUUAUUGGUUUAGUGUAUUUUACCUAAAUAAAGUAUUUAAUGCAGGAAGCUAUAUAUGUUCUUGUGAAUGCAUCCCACACUGUCUAUGUGCAACGUCUUUGGCAACAAAAGUUUGACCAUCUGAAUAUUUUACCGAUUAACAAUAUUUACAAAUGAAGGGAACUAUGUCAUACAGUGUACGUCAAACUUAAUGAUAUCUGGACAAAUGUCUUAUUCAUUUCAGGUAAAAGAUGCAAAAAAAGUCAUUCAGACAAACCCAACGAAGGUACGUUACAUUUACCUUACAUCGAGUGUUUAUGUUUAUCGUUAUUUAUCUGUUAUUGUGAAGACUUUUUACUAUACUGUGGCAUAUAGUAAAUUAGGAAAUUUGUCGCACUUUUUAAGCAUAUUAUCAAUUUAUUUGGUGACUUUUUUCCUGUUGAUGUGGUUAUACAAAAUCUGGAAUAUGUAAUUACAAUGUUUAAUUUAUAUACGACUGGCUUCACAAGUAUAUAUAGAUACAUUUAGAAAAGACAGAAAGAGACAAGGGAAUCCACCAUCUUAAAUGGAACGUAUAUCGUCUAUCUGAUGAUAAUUAAAAUAUAUGUAAUGAUUCAUAUUCAAAUUAACGGAUUAGGAUUGCAUUUAACGUUUAUGUUUCUUUUGAAUUACACUGGAUUUUUUAUACAUUUUUUUGUAGUUACAUGUAACGAUCCAGCGAUUAGCAGUUGUGGUAAUGCGAGUGUACUUAUUGAUGUAGGAGGCAAUACUGUAGGCGCAAAAGCACAUUUGUCAUGUUUGAAUGGAUAUACACUAUGGGGAAAAGAUGCUAUUGUAUGUUUAGACUCGGGGAAGUGGAGUCAACUAAAUUCAUAUUGUAAGAAACUAAUCUAUAUUUUUCUUCUAUAAAUAAAAACGAAGACGUGAUAUGAUUGCCAAUGAGACAACUCUCAACAAGAGACCAAAAUGACACAGAAAUUAAAAACUAUAUGUCAAAGUACGGCCUUCAACAAUGAGCAAAGGCCCAUACUGCACAGUAAGCUUUAAAUGGCCCCGAAAUGACAAUGUUAACAUGUUUUUAACAAAGAUUUUGGUUUACUUUCAAGUCUCUCAUCAAAAGUGUUAUUUUUGUAAUCAUGGUAUUUUGAUAUAACUUAUAAAUAAAACGAUAUUACUAUGUGUGCUGUUUUUAACCACGCCAAAGUUUGUAAACACAAAUCGUUUCUCAAAAUGUGGUGUUUAGUCUUAGUGCCACAGUGAAAUUUGAUGUGUGUGUUUAAAAACUGUGCCCCAUUUGUUCGUACGUUUUGAUAGAAAUGUUCUUUUACAAAUUGACAAUCGUUUUCCAGCUUGUUACUACAAUAGAUCAAUGCAUGAUACUUUCUCAAGUAGCUUUCGUUCUGCCCUUGCUGUAAUAUAUUUGAAAAAAAUAAAAUAUGAAGGGGCCUCGGUGACAUGCAUCAAAUUUCAAUCACCACAUAUAUCAAUUGUCAUUUAUAUUCGGUAAGACACUUAUUAGAACAGUGCAUCCCUUAUAGCAUUGAUGUACAUUUAUCAAGUAUAUAGACAAUAUUUUGGUCCAUUGACAUAAACAAUAUAAGCGAUAUGGUAUAUCAGUCUUGAUCGUGUUAUUCUUGAUUUAUGAACGUGAUUUGCAACUACAGCUUUUGUCACACGGCUCUGAACAGGUCAACAGUUUGCUCAUGCUGGUUAUGGAGUAACUGUUUCAUCAAGUUCGGGAUUUAUUUUCCAUUUAUUAAGAUGGCAAAUUGUUUAACUUAUGUCUAAGCCUAACUAUUGACAUACAAAUUCUAAUGAUUUAUUGAGAAAAACUGCGAACUCCAUUACUCUAUUAGACUUAUACAGAAACUUUGAAUAUACAAAUACAAAAAUAUUGACAGAAAAUUACUGUGUAUCGUUUCUUUUGAUUACUUGUAUACCAUUCUACCAGAAUUAAAUUUGAUUUAAUCAACUUUUUGGGUAAAAAGAGGGACGAAAGAUAACAAAGGGACAGUCAAACUCAUGAAUCUAAAAUAAACUGACAACGUCAUGGCUAAAAAUGAAAAAGACAAACAGACAAACAAUAGUACACAUGACACAACAUAGAAAUCUAAAGAAUAAACAACACGAACCCAACCAAAAACUAGGGGUGAUCUCAGGUGCUCCGGAAGGGUAAGCAGAUCCUGCUCCACAUGUGGCACCCGUUACUGUGGAUUAAUUACAAUUAAUCGGAUACUGUUUGUCGUGAUUCUUUAUGGUACAGGUAAACAAAUGAUUUAAAAAAUAUGUAAAGUAGUACAAAUGUUUGAUAGGCUUGUAUGCAGUCUUUUGUCACACAACGUUGAUCUGAUGCAUUAGACAUGUGUUUACUGAUUGUGUUAUAUAUGUUGUACUGGUAUAGUAUAGUUAGUUGCCUUUUGUUAGCUAUUAUUCGUAUUUCUUUGUCAAUUGUGUUCUCCUAUUUAUUUGUAUUGUAGUCCUGUAAUAUUGUGUUGUCAUUUUAAUGUUAUAUUGCACAUGGCCAUAUAAGAGGGAGGUUUGGCAUGCCACAAAACCAGGUUCAACCCACCAUUUUUUUCUUAAAAAGAAUGUCCUGUACCAAGUCAGGAAUAUGGUCAUUGUUAUAUUAUAGUUCGUUUCUGUGUGUGUUACUUUUUAACGUUGCUUUAAACUCGUUUCAAGUACGUACUUCCAUAGCCUGCUCUUUUGAUAUUAUUGUUUACCACAGUCCGAGAUAAAAGGAGAGGUGACGUACGUAAUUCAGUCGUGUGUGUUGCUGUAUAUAAUUUAUUUACUGUUUAUUAUUUUCUACAUAAAUAAAUGUGCUCAACAUUUGUCAUGUUUGGGCCUGGUAUAGUAAGCAAUCACAGAUUUUAGACAAAUGUUUUCCUAUAUUUCACCAAAACUAUACCCACUGUUAACCGAUAACUGUGAUCUUGGAUUAGUUCGAAUAUCCUACUCGAAAUCAAGCAGAAGAUCUAGUGUUAAUUUAUUUAUGUUUAACUAAUACUCUGAUUUUGCUUUUAUUAAAGGUAUUCCUGAUGGCAUAGGAAAGCCAUAUAUACAGUCCUUCGAUGGGUCUUUAUACUUGUUUAACAAUUUUACUAAGAGUAAUAAUAGUCAAGCAAAGGUAAUCAUUGUUAUUAUAGUGUAAGCGAUCAAUUGUUAUAAAACGUAUUUGUUUUUAUGAGUACAUUUUACAAAACAAAAAAACAACCAAUAUUUCUUUUUUAAAAUUAAAGAUACAGUUAUUAAAUGGCCAUCAAACCAUAAAUUGAAAGAAAAAAAACCAUGUGUUAAUCAAAAGCCGCGGAUCAGGGUAAAUACACAUCACUGGUUUUGUUAUUAGCUCUUGGUGCCAAAACAAAUUAAGUUAUAUUUUAUCGUCAAUUCGGAAAUUAACAACUAUAGGUCAUCGUACGGCCUUCAACAGUCAGCAAAGCCCAUAGCGCAUAGUCAGUUAUAAAAGCUACAUAUAAUACUGAUUAAUUUCUAAUCAGAAUAAAUUCAUGAAAGAAGAUUGAACUAUAUGUAUUGUUUUUGUCUAAAUGUUAUGAUUUAUAUAAAGUUUUAUACAUUAUUUAAGGAAUACUGUGCCAACAUUUGUUCAACACUCAUCGAAAUAAACAACCAAGAGGAAGACAAGUUCCUUUUAGAGACUAUGAAUAAGUUAGAAAUAGGUAAGCAUAUCUACUUUUAGUAUGUUCACCAAGAACCGAAACAAUUAUAACGUGCUUUUUGAUCAAUCUCCCAUAUAGAGUUAUCGGUCAUUGCUCUCUCUUAAGGAUCGACAAUUCUGCAGAGAUUGCUUUUCGAUAUUAAUUCGGUUAUGAGGGUGGUAAAGGACUAUUUUUGUACAACGUGUUUUGUCAUUUUUAUUUCACGUGUAGUCGUGAACAAGGUUCGCUACUCGUCGUGUUUCGUGCAAUCGGUAAAAAAAAUUAACGUGCAAAACAUUUGUAAUCGUGCGUUAAUCAUGAAAUGUCAAUUUUAAUUUGCGAUCUUCCUUAAAGAAGCCCCCCUCUUACGCUCGACUAUGCCUUCUGACAGAAAAAUUGGUUAACACAAUAUUAUUUCUAGUAUCUACUUAGUAUAAAACACUUACACGCAGUGAGCUUAAACAAAAUUGAAUCAUCCUCUUGAAAUAAGACAACAUGUUUAAGUAAGUUUACAAAUCAUGUGUACUAUUUUAUUAAUCCGUAAAUAAUCAUUUUGCUCACAUUUGUUUAUUUUGUGUAGCUUUAACCUUAACCUUGAAUGUGGAGACUUCAAAAUAGAUAGGAAUCGUCCAUUUUAUUUCUUUACCUCGGUUUUAGUUUGUAAACCGGAUUUGUUUUUUUUUUUCUCAAUCGAUUUAUAAAUUUCGAACAGCGGUAUACAACUGUUGCCUUUAUAUAUAGGUUAUCAUACAUCCAAGUAUUGAUAUAACGCGAGGCUUUUGGUUGAACAACCGGACACAACUAAGCUACACUUAUUUGGGCUAUUUAUUGUACUUUUUAACUUGCCCUCUUAGUAUGUUGUGACCUCAAUAUCAAUUAGGAUCUCCUUCGCUUUAUGUGUGACAAUUUAUUGAAGAACAGUUUCAAUCCAGAAUUUUUGCGUUAGCAUUCACAUACGAACAUGUCUGCUGGACGAUCUAAAGGCUUACUUUGUAGUAUGUAAUAUGAUACGGAAAGGCAACAUCGUCCUGCAAAUGGCAAUUUUUUUGGUAAUCCUGAUUCAUUCAUACAAUAUACUUUUAAAACAUAACUUGAUUGGAAACGUUUACUAUAAAACAAAUCGAAAUGAAAAGAUAUCAUAUCUUUUUUUGAAACAUCCCACUAUUUUUAACAUGAAUUGUAAUAUAAUAACUAUAUACCCGGUAAAUAGAUGAUACUUUUAUUCAAUUGUGUUCAUACAGAUUUUUUGUGGAUAGGAUUAGAGUCGGUUAAUGGUGGGAAUUACAGUUGGCCCUCGGAUAAUACAACACAGACAAACCAAUAUGAAAACUGGUCAGACCUAGUACAAGAAUUUUUUAUAGAUAACCCUCCAGCAGGAACUUGUGUACUGGCAUUCCCGUUUUAUAAGUUUUGGGUUCCAUACUUUGUAAAUACAUGCGAUACCACACUGGCUGACUUCGUCUGUGAAUUGAGGUGAAUAUUUUACCUUUUUUUACUUUAUUUGAUACUAUUAUUAAAAAUUGUGCAUAUCAAGCAAAGUAUAGAAACAAAUGAACUUGAAAAGUAGAUUAAACAUAAAGAAAGUAUGGGGGUUAAAUUUUAAAUAUCUGGAAUUUAAAAUUGAUAUCAUAAAUUAGCAGAGGAGUACUUAUGAUACAUAUUAAGCUAAAAUAUUAAUCAAUCAUGGAUCUCCUUUUUGAUAAAUUGGAUAUUUUUUUAAUGGCGGUAAUAUGCUGACUCGGACUUCACUUUAUAUUUGUUAUUGACAUUAUUUGAGCUUUAAACCGUAAGAAAAAAAGCUUAAACUUUGGUAAUGACCUUUUAUGAGUAGCUAGAGUCUGCUAUGAAAAUGUAAUUGGCAUUGGAAACAUUAACACUGUGUAUCGUAUGGGGCAGAUUUCAAUCAUAAACAAUAUAGUAAGUCUGAGAUAAGUUAAUAUAAAAUUGGUCUUGUUAUACACAAAAAUGAUUAAUAUUCUGAACAACGUAGCAAGCAUGCAAAUAAAUACACACGACUUCAGUUUUUAAAAAUUCUGCUGCAUUUUUCAUUACUGCGGUCAAAUUUUUUUUUUAGAAGGUCAAAUAUAAAACAUAAAAAAAAUCAUGCUGCAGAAAAAUUAUAAAAUUUUGACUCAUUUCAUAUUACUAAAUUUAGAAAUAAAUCUAUAAUCCUCAUUAACGAUUUUCUUUAUUAUAGGAUCAACUGAUGUCAAGAACGAAGCGGAAAACAGUGUAGUACAUGCGCUAGUUGUAAAAUUAAAAUAUAACAAAAUCCAUUAUGUUAUUGUUUUACAUCUC